GUGAACCCCACAAAAAAAGCAAUGGUUUUAGAGCACAACCUUUGUGUUUUGGUGGUGAGAUGACAGGGCUGGCCGAUGUCUCUCGGACUGUGACUCAGACUGGGAUUAAAGUAUUCCUCAGCUGUCAAGGCCGAAGGGUUCACUCACGCCAUUGUUUGGCCCCACGUGCUGUUCAGCGAUACCCAGGAAUGACUGCAGAGGUGUCUUACCGCCUAAUUCAAAAACACAACACACAGCGGGUCACAGCACAGCAGAGUCGCAGAAAACCAAAGAUCUGUAUUACAUCAGCACAACGGCAGGAAGACAGACACUGUUUGUUCGGGAAUAAUACACAAAACAGGUACGAUUACAAGGACGCCCAUGUGUCGUGAAAACAGAGACAUCAGCGCCAUGUUGGAGUAACAGACGGGCACAGUCCAGGUGGCCUAGCGUCAAAGCCAGGUGCAAAGGAGUCCGACCCCGUGGGUCUAAUACUUCUAAAUCCACCUGUUGGAUUAAAGAGAUUUCACAUGAUGCUAAACAAAUAUCGUCAAAUAUUCCCGUUUAAAUCUAAUUCAUUUUCUACUCAAAUCAUUUCAUGUAUGCCUUUUUCUCAAUUAGAGCAAUGUUCGACGAAAAAUAUAAAUUCUGUUUUCAUUUAUUUACUCUCAUGUUUUUCGAAGCCUGUAUUUAAUGCUUUCUUCAGUUGAAAACUCAUGAAGAUAUUUUGAGAAAGGUGUGUCCAUACAAUGAAAGUCAAUAGGAGGCGGUGUCAUUUUGGUACCGACAUUCUUCAAAAUAUCUUCUUUUGUGUUCUGCAGAAAAAAGAAAAUCACACAGGUUUGGAAUGAAAUAACAUCCCAAAUCCCACUUCACAUAACUGUUUAUUAAUCAUUAAAAAUGUUGCGUCACAGCGCAUAGCGCAAAUGACUUGUUUCUUGAAAGUGUAUGGUUGGUAAACCAUAUCUGCGAAAUGCAGUGUAUUGUGCACAAUAUGAGUAUUAUUGUUAUUUAACAUUUUAGCCAACGUUGUAGCUCACACACUGUAUUUCACAUGCAGACCAGAAAAUGGAAAAAGGAAGAGAAAAAUGGAGACGCACAGAACUACAGAAUAUUUGAGAAAACUGUUUUAUUCUCACUUCAGAUUUAACACGCUUGAGAAAGCUCUCAGGAGAGAACUAAAACUGCAUCAUUUCGCCUGUUUGCAACAUAAAAAGAAAAGCAGGUAUAUGGGUAAAAAGGCCGAAGUAAAAGACUUCGAUGGAAAAGAGAAGUGACAGGUGAUAAUUAAGGCAUCGCACCAGAACAUGACACAGAGCGCUUUCACACGCCGCCCAACAGCCACUGUGAGAAAUACUUCCACAUUCAAACUGAUAACCAAUAAGCACUCUGCAAUUCCCCACAUUUGAGAAACAGCACUGUGGCGUUCUCAUCCAAUAUCUCCGUCUUUCCAUCACAGACAAUGUGACUACAGUCAC